rnacentral:lncRNA from 1 species
CCUGAAUAACAUGAUCAAAAGCUGCUACAAAAUUACUGGAGUUAAUACACUUGACAAUCACUUAUGCAUCUGAGAAAAUAGUUGCUUCAAGGAUGUUAGCUUCCUUCGCCACUUGCAAACUCCAUCUGAUUCCAAGCGCCUCUGCAAGGGUUGGGUCAACUUCCUUCGCCACAACCAAACCCAAUCUAUUCUGUUCCAUCAUGAAAGCAUCCAGCAUCAACAAAAAAAAUAAAUUCAUGAACCAUCAUGAUACUCCAGCAUCAACAAAAAAAUAAGUUCCUGAACAAAAAAUAAAUUAAACCUGGAAAAGUGAUAUUCAAACAGAAUAAGAUAUUUAAACAGAACAAGAUGUAAAAAAUUGGGGUAUCAAAUUAAAUUGGGAAAAACUGAAUCAAAGGUAUUGAGAAUUUAAUUGGGAAAAAUUGAAUCAAAUUAGGGUAUGAAUCAGGACACAAUUUCCAACCUGUUCAUAAUAGAAUCAGCAUGAGGAUUAACAAAUUCUGGAUUAUCACCUUUGUGUGAGAGGAAGAAUCGUAUCUUGUGCUUG